rnacentral:lncRNA from 1 species
UCCAAGGGACUUAAUAAUCCCUGGUUUUAUUUUUUCAUCGAAAUCCCCAUGGUCGAUUUCACACCUUGGUUACAAACGGAAAAAGAACAAUGCAAAGAGCCGAACGGUGCUCCAUGAAACAGAAGGGAGUCUAGGUCGACGAUUUCUCAUCUCUCGAGGGCAUGUCAACAUAUCUCCACGAGUAAUGAGCAAACCCUUCGUGAAUGCUAUCGUCGGCGAC